CUAUGCAUGGAGAUUUCAGCUCAGUCCUGGACAGUCAGAGCAUUCUCAUACAUAGGAAAUGGAGCUAUUCACCGAAGACCAAUAACAAGGAGUAAAUGGCAAAUGCAAGCCUAUAAUCCCCAAUUCCAAGUCUUGGAAACACAGCGGCCAACAUCAUAUCCAGAGGGAAGCUUCCAGUGAACAUGAGGUAUCCAGCCAGGAGGAACACAAGAGGAUAAGAUCAACAUGGGGCUUGAAAGAGUAUCUUCAGCUGGAAAAAUAAAAU